rnacentral:rRNA from 1 species
AGCGGCGGACGGGUGAGUAACGCGUGGGUAACCUGCCUCAUACAGGGGGAUAACAGUUAGAAAUGACUGCUAAUACCGCAUAAGACCACGGUACCGCAUGGUACAGUGGUAAAAACUCCGGUGGUAUGAGAUGGACCCGCGUCUGAUUAGGUAGUUGGUGGGGUAACGGCCUACCAAGCCGACGAUCAGUAGCCGACCUGAGAGGGUGAUCGGCCACAUUGGGACUGAGAUACGGCCCAG